AUACUUACCUGGAUGAGGUUAAUGAGCGAUCAUGAAGGCUUAUGUCCUAGAGCAGUGACCUUCAUUGCACAAAGAAGGGGUGCUGUUUUAAGGUCUACCCUAGUGGUGGAGCCUGCAUCAUAAUUUGUGGCAGAGGGGGCUUUGCGUUCGCGCAGCCCCUAC